AGGGUCAUCAACAGAUGUUACUUAUGAAUCGGAUGCAGACGUGUUACCUCCACUUCUGCGUCUUAAUCAGCCAGCUAUUGAAACCAUUUGGCUAACUGAUUCGGAUUAAUAUGGUUUUUAGGGAGGUAUUUAUUAUUGUUGAAAACAUGAACGUUAGAGAUCACUGUUAACAGAUAGAGUUGUUGGAAAUUAUUGUCAUGUGUACUCUACGCUAUGAGAC